rnacentral:rRNA from 1 species
AGAGUUUGAUCAUGGCUCAGGACGAACGCUGGCGGCGUGCCUAAUACAUGCAAGUCGAGCGGACCUUUCGGGGUCAGCGGCGGACGGGUGAGUAACACGUGGGCAAUCUGCCCGAUACUCUGGGAUAACGCUUGGAAACGAGUGCUAAUACCGGAUGGUCUUCUUGGCCGCAUGGCCGAGAAGGAAAAGACGCGUUCGCGUCGGUGUCGGAUGAGCCCGCGGCGCAUUAGCUAGUUGGUGAGGUAACGGCCCACCAAGGCGACGAUGCGUAGCCGACCUGAGAGGGUGACCGGCCACACUGGGACUGAGACACGGCCCAGACUCCUACGGGAGGCAGCAGUAGGGAAUCUUCCACAAUGGGCGAAAGCCUGAUGGAGCAACGCCGCGUGAGUGAUGAAGGCCUUCGGGUUGUAAAACUCUGUCAUUCGGGACGAACCGGAGUCUGAGGAAAUGCAGACUCUCUGACGGUACCGGAGGAGGAAGCCCCGC